rnacentral:ncRNA from 1 species
GACGUUGCUUUUUGAUCCUUCGAUGUCGGCUCUUCUUAUCAUUGAGACGCAGAAGUCUCAAAGUGUCGAUUUGUCAACCCGCCAAUAGGGAACGUGAGCUGGGUUUAGACCGUCGUGAGACAGGUUAGUUUUACCCUACUGACAAAGUAGAUACUGCGACAGUAGUCGAAGUUAGUACGAGAGGAACACUUCGUCCAGAUACUUGGUUAAUGCCGUUGUCUGAAAAGACAGUACGGCGAAGCUACCAUCUGCUGGAUUACGGCUGAACGCCUCUAAGCCGGAAUCCAUGCUGGAUAAGCAGUGUUGUACACCGUGCUCAAUGCUACAAGAAAAAGGCUAGGUCAGGCUUCGGCCUGACCAAAAUUCAAGCUGCUAUACCUCUGGCUGCAUUGACUUGUGGUCAGAGUGUAUGGUGAUCAUAGCAAUUGCAAGUAUUGGGCUCGAUAAAUCCUUUGAAGACGACUUAAUUGCAUCCGGGUAUUGUAAGUGUUGAGAGUAGGCUUAGUCUUACGAUCCACUGAGAUUCAUCCCGUGUUGCGCCGAUUUGU